rnacentral:rRNA from 1 species
AUUGAACGCUGGCGGCAGGCUUAACACAUGCAAGUCGAGCGGAUGAUGGGAGCUUGCUCCCUGAUUUAGCGGCGGACGGGUGAGUAAUGCCUAGGAAUCUGCCUGGUAGUGGGGGAUAACGUUCCGAAAGGAACGCUAAUACCGCGUACGUCCUACGGGAGAAAGCAGGGGACCUUCGGGCCUUGCGCUACCAGAUGAGCCUAGGUCGGAUUAGCUAGUUGGUGAGGUAAUGGCUCACCAAGGCGACGAUCCGUAACUGGUCUGAGAGGAUGAUCAGUCACACUGGAACUGAGACACGGUCCAGACUCCUACGGGAGGCAGCAGUGGGUAAUAUUGGACAAUGGGCGAAAGCCUGAUCCAGCCAUGCCGCGUGUGUGAAGAAGGUCUUCGGAUUGUAAAGCACUUUAAGUUGGGAGGAAGGGCAGUAAGUUAAUACCUUGCUGUUUUGACGUUACCGACAGAAUAAGCACCGGCUAACUUCGUGCCAGCCGCCGCCGUAAAAC